CGGGAGCUUGCUCCUGGUGGCGAGUGGCGAACGGGUGAGUAAUGCGUCGGAACGUGCCGAGUAAUGGGGGAUAACGCAGCGAAAGUUGUGCUAAUACCGCAUACGCUCUGAGGAGGAAAGCGGGGGACCUUUCGGGGCCUCGCGUUAUUCGAGCGGCCGACGUCUGAUUAGCUAGUUGGUGGGGUAAGAGCUCACCAAGGCGACGAUCAGUAGCGGGUCUGAGAGGAUGAUCCGCCACACUGGGACUGAGACACGGCCCAGACUCCUACGGGAGGCAGCAGUGGGGAAUUUUGGACAAUGGGGGCAACCCUGAUCCAGCCAUGCCGCGUGUCUGAAGAAGGCCUUCGGGUUGUAAAGGACUUUUGUCAGGGAGCAAAUCCCGAUCGUGAAUAACGGUUGGGGAUGAGAGUACCUGAAGAAUAAGCACCGGCUAACUACGUGCCAGCAGCCGCGGUAAUACGUAGGGUGCAAGCGUUAAUCGGAAUUACUGGGCGUAAAGCGUGCGCAGGCGGUUGUGCAAGUCUGAUGUGAAAGCCCCGGGCUCAACCUGGGAACGGCAUUGGAGACUGCACAGCUAGAGUGCGUCAGAGGGGGGUAGAAUUCCACGUGUAGCAGUGAAAUGCGUAGAGAUGUGGAGGAAUACCGAUGGCGAAGGCAGCCCCCUGGGAUGACACUGACGCUCAUGCACGAAAGCGUGGGGAGCAAACAGGAUUAGAUACCCUGGUAGUCCACGCCCUAAACGAUGUCAACUAGCUGUUGGGGGUUUGAAUCCUUGGUAGCGAAGCUAACGCGAGAAGUUGACCGCCUGGGGAGUACGGCCGCAAGGUUAAAACUCAAAGGAAUUGACGGGGACCCGCACAAGCGGUGGAUGAUGUGGAUUAAUUCGAUGCAACGCGAAAAACCUUACCUGCUCUUGACAUGUACCGAAGCCCGCA
rnacentral:rRNA from 1 species